rnacentral:rRNA from 1 species
UACGUAGGGGGCAAGCGUUGUCCGGAAUUAUUGGGCGUAAAGCGCGUGUAGGCGGCUCGGUAAGUCUGCUGUGAAAGUCCAGGGCUCAACCCUGGAAUGCCGGUGGAUACUGUCGAGCUCGAGUCCGGAAGAGGCGAGUGGAAUUCCUGGUGUAGCGGUGGAAUGCGUAGAGAUCGGGAAGAACACCCGUGGCGAAGGCGGCCGGCUGGGCCGGAUCCGACGCUGAGGCGCGAAAGCGUGGGGAGCAAACAGG